rnacentral:rRNA from 1 species
UGGGGAAUUUUGGACAAUGGGGGAAACCCUGAUCCAGCCAUCCCGCGUGUGCGAUGAAGGCCUUCGGGUUGUAAAGCACUUUUGGCAGGAAAGAAACGUCAUGGGUUAAUACCCCGUGAAACUGACGGUACCUGCAGAAUAAGCACCGGCUAACUACGUGCCAGCAGCCGCGGUAAUACGUAGGGUGCAAGCGUUAAUCGGAAUUACUGGGCGUAAAGCGUGCGCAGGCGGUUCGGAAAGAAAGAUGUGAAAUCCCAGAGCUCAACUUUGGAACUGCAUUGUUAACUACCGGGCGAGAGGGUGUAAGAGGGAGGUGGAAUUCCGCGUGUAGCAGUGAAAUGCGUAGAUAUGCGGAGGAACACCGAUGGCGAAGGCAGCCUCCUGGGAUAACACUGACGCUCAUGCACGAAAGCGUGGGGAGCAAACAGG